CAAUAGCGUAUAUUAAAGUUGUUGCGGUAAAAAAGCUCGUAGUUGGAUUUCUACCGAAGAUAGCCGGUCGGGUCUUCGACCUUGUAUCUGGUUUUGUCUUUGGUAUCCUCAUAGGGAACGUUUCUGCGCUUUAUUGCGUGGUGCGGUAUCUAUGACUUUUACUUUGAGGAAAUUAGAGUGUUCACGGCAGGCAAACGCCUUGAAUAUAUUAGUAUGGAAUAAUAACAUAGGAUCUUCGUCCUAUUUUGUUGGUUUCUAGGGCUAAGAUAAUGAUCAAUAGGGAUAAUUGGGGGCAUCUGUAUCAACGCGUCAGAGGUGGAAUUCUUGGAUUGCGUUGCGACAAACUACUGCGAAAGCAUUUGCCAAGGAUGUUUUCAUUGA
rnacentral:rRNA from 1 species